CACACACACACACACACACACACACACACACACACACACACACACACACACACACAGAGGAACUUCAUCGUCCUACUUUACCUUUUAGUAGCAGAUUUAUCCUGGUUUCCCAGACGUCACCAGGACGAAUGGAGCUGAUCCUAACUCAGGUCUGAGGUGGUCAGGGUGAAGGAGUGGAGGACUCUGCAAGCUGGCCUGCAGAGACACUAACGAGGGACCAGAACCACCCGGACUCUUCGAUGGGCGGGGUGUCAAAGUGUCUAGGUUUUAUGGUCGUGCUCGAGCUGUUUUAGUUCAACCCAAAUCCAUUCCUAAGCCUCUCUCCACCGGGUGCCUUUCCUCGCUCCUU